rnacentral:pre_miRNA from 1 species
UUGUGACCGUUGUUACGGUCAAAACAUUCCUGGAAAUGACCGUAGUUUCGUUCACAAAA